GACGAACGCUGGCGGCGUGCUUAACACAUGCAAGUCGAACGGUGAAGCGCCUUCCUUUUUGGUGGGUGUGGAUGAGUGGCGAACGGGUGAGUAACACGUGAGUAACCUGCCCCCUUCUUCUGGAUAACCGCAUGAAAGUGUGGCUAAUACGGGAUAUUCUGGGUCUGUCGCAUGAUGGGUCUGGGAAAGAUAUUGUUUCGGUGGGGGAUGGGCUCGCGGCCUAUCAGCUUGUUGGGGGGGUGAUGGCCUACCAAGGCGGUGGCGGGUAGCCGGCCUGGGAGGGUGGACGGUCACACUGGGACUGAGACACGGCCCAGACUCCUACGGGAGGCAGCAGUGGGGAAUAUUGCACAAUGGGCGCAAGCCUGAUGCAGCGACGCCGCGUGAGGGAUGGAGGCCUUCGGGUUGUGAACCUCUUUCGCCAGUGAAGCAGGCCUGCCUCGUUUGUGGGUGGGUUGACGGUAGCUGGAUAAGAAGCGCCGGCUAACUACGUG
rnacentral:rRNA from 1 species